CAUCUUGUGAAUCUGAGAUGAGACAGAACAUAAAAAAUUAAAUAAGGAGUCUCUGCAAAAGGCUUUAUGCCAGCCGGCUAGCCAGAGUGUCUACCAACUCCUUACAUUUGGAAGACAAAAGGCAAGACGGUAAGUCUAUGUCCUUGCAGCUGAGAGAACAGUAAUGCCACUAGCCAGGAAGACAGAGUUAGAAGGACAAGAGCGCACCCCGGGAUCUUGCCGUAUCUUGGAGACACCUGCAUGAAGUUGUCAAGCAGACAGAAAUGAAGAUUGUAGUGUACAAGAGAGGUCCAGGCUGGAGACUCUGCCAAGUCAACUGCCAAGAAUGAAGGGUGACAAGAUUUCCACAGGAGAGUUGAUUGGCCGUGAAGAAGAGAAACAAAAAUGUGACCAGUGCGGCGUGUCUAACAAGGCUUGAAACACGGAGAUCCAUCCGAGUGUGUCAAGGACUGCUGAGACUUCAAUUGCUGCGAGCGGGGGGGAAGGAGGGCUGCUGAGGAAAAGGCCACAGGGAGCCUUUUACUAAACCAACAACACAGCUGUGAGUCUCUGAUAGUUCCGAUACAGGAGGAUAUAGCUCACACUGGCUCAUGUCCUGUUACACGCUGUCACCUCAGAUGGCCUCGCAGCUGAACCACUAAGCAAGUUAGCAACAGCCCUGGCUACACAGUGUCUUACUGGCUCCACCGCCCAUCAAAAUGUGAGCUCCCACAGCCACGUCUUUGGUCUGUCAUCAUGGACUCCAACCCCUUGAAACUUUGUUCAGAAGCCCGUUCUGUAAAAUGGAGCCAACGGGACAGCUUCAGUGAAGGUCACAGGACUCUCCCGGCUGUUGUGCCCAUAACAUCACAUCCCUAGAGGUGCCCUGGUGAUAACGGUUGAAAUAAGCAAAAACCAAGAAGCCAUCAUCAUCAGUUACCACGGAGUUUUAAAUCGCAACUACGGUGAAAUAUUGCUGUACAUCAAUCAGCAUAGCUAAAGUCAAGAACGAGAAACCCAAAACUGCUGGUCCUGGUAAGGACCGGCAGACACCUGAAUGCCCAGGUGCUCAUGAGGGAACAGGAAACAGUGUGGCCAUUCUGAAAAAUAGGGUGGCGGUGGUCAGAAACGCCAAACAUGAGACUACUGUGUGUGACUCGCUGUGUGUGACUCACAACUGCAGUUUCGAGCAUUCUCUCAGGGGAUCGACAAUUUAUGUUCACACAGAGACUUAGGCCUAAAUGUGCAUAUGAACCCCAUAUAACAGCUCCUAGGUGUCUUUCAACAGAAGAGUGGUUAGGCAAACUUUGGUACGUCCGUGUGACAGAAUGUUAUUCAGCCAUAUAAAGAGCCAGUCACUGGCGCAUGGAAACAGUCUGGAGGACUCUAUAGAAUCAUGCUGUGUCAAUAAAACCAAUGCCAAGAGGUCUUAUCUGUGUUAUGU